GAACGAACGCUGGCGGCAUGCCUAACACAUGCAAGUCGAACGAGACCUUCGGGUCUAGUGGCGCACGGGUGCGUAACGCGUGGGAACCUGCCCUUAGGUUCGGAAUAACCCCCCGAAAGGGGUGCUAAUACCGGAUAAUGUCUUCGGACCAAAGAUUUAUCGCCUUUGGAUGGGCCCGCGUUGGAUUAGCUAGUUGGUAGGGUAAAAGCCUACCAAGGCGACGAUCCAUAGCUGGUCUGAGAGGAUGAUCAGCCACACUGGGACUGAGACACGGCCCAGACUCCUACGGGAGGCAGCAGUGGGGAAUAUUGGACAAUGGGCGAAAGCCUGAUCCAGCAAUGCCGCGUGAGUGAUGAAGGCCUUAGGGUUGUAAAGCUCUUUUACCCGGGAUGAUAAUGACAGUACCGGGAGAAUAAGCUCCGGCUAACUCCGUG
rnacentral:rRNA from 1 species